rnacentral:misc_RNA from 1 species
GAUGAAGAACGUAGCGAAAUGCGAUAAGUAAUGUGAAUUGCAGAAUUCAGUGAAUCAUCGAAUCUUUGAACGCACAUUGCGCCGCCAGUAUUCUGGCGGGCAUGCCUGUUCGAGCGUCAUUUCAACCCUCAGGCCCCGCCUGGCGUUGGGGAUCGGCGCGGCCCUCUCCGGGCUGCCGGCCCCGAAAACUAGUGGCGGUCUCGCUGUAGUCCUCCUCUGCGCAGUAGCAACGCUCGCACUGGAACUCGGCGCGGCCACGCCGUAAAACACCCCACUUCUGAAAGUUGACCUCGGAUCAGGUAGGAAUACCCGCUGAACUUAAGCAUAUCAAUAAGCGGAGGA